GGUUACCUUGUUACGACUUCACCCCAGUCAUGAAGCACACCGUGGUAAACGCCCUCCCGAAGGUUAGACUAUCUACUUCUGGUGCAAUCCACUUCCAUGGUGUGACGGGCGGUGUGUUCAAGACCCGAGAACGUAUUCACCGCGACAUGCUGAUUCGCGAUUACUAGCGAUUCCGACUUCAUGGAGUCGAGUUGCAGACUCCCAUCCGAACUGGGCCCGGUUUUGAGGAUUGGCUCCACCUC
rnacentral:rRNA from 1 species